rnacentral:rRNA from 1 species
GCGCGAAAACUUUACAAUGCACGAAAGUGUGAUAAGGGAAUCCUAAGUGCUCAGGCAUUGCCUGGGCUUUUGCCAUAUGUAAAUAGUAUGGCGAAUAAGUAGUGGGUAAGACUGGUGCCAGCCGCCGCGGUAACACCAGCGCUACAAGUGGCAAUCACGUUUAUUGGGCCUAAAGCGUCCGUAGCAGGUUUUGUAAAUUUUUUGUGAAACUGCCAAGCUUAACUUGGCAAUGUGCAGGAAACACUGCAAGACUUGAGACCGGGAAGGGUCGGAGGUAUUCCUGAGGGAGCGGUAAAAUGCUAUAAUCUCAGGAGGACCACCGGUGGCGAAGGCGUCCGACUAGAACGGAUCUGACUGUGAGGGACGAAAGCCAGGGGAGCAAACCGG